UACAGGGGGUGCAAACGUUGCUCGGAAUCAUUGGGCGUAAAGCGCACGUAGGCGGUUCGUUAUGUCGGAUGUGAAAGCCCUUGGCUUAACCGAGGGAGUGCAUCCGAAACUGGCGAGCUAGAGUACUGAAGAGGAUCGCGGAAUUCCCGGUGUAGAGGUGAAAUUCGUAGAUAUCGGGAGGAACACCGGUGGCGAAGGCGGCGAUCUGGGUAGAUACUGACGCUGAGGUGCGAAAGCGUGGGGAGCAAACAGG
rnacentral:rRNA from 1 species